AGUACCUACGUAGAUUGAAUUCAAGAGAAUAAUUUCCUUUUUUUUAAAUUGACUUUUGACAUAUAUAUAUAUGUAUUGAAAAAAUUAUUGGUAUAUCAGUAUAACGAAACAGCUUGUGUCAAAAUGUUCAGUUGGAUAGUCGUUUUUGUCCUUUCUCUCCUUAGUAUACCAAAUCAAGUGGAGUCCCAAGAAUGCAACUUAGGAGUAUUUGAGGGAUCUUGGGUGGAAAACUAGUGUAAAUAAGCUUUUAUUUUAUAAAAAUAUAGGAGCUCCUAAAACAAUACUGGAUCAAAUUGUACAUAAACAAAACUCAAUGAUCAUAAAUAAAAAUGCGAAAGGAUUUCGAAUUAAAUUUUCGGAAUAUUCUUUGGAAAAAACUGAUCUGAUAUUUGACAUGUUUAAGAAAGGACCUUCUCAUAAUAUGAAAUUGAUCAAUGGAAAGGAUGCAAUUGUAUUCUUAAGCUGUUACGGAAAUUUAUUCACCGCCACUUAUAAAAUAUUACCGGGUGAUGAAAUAACUUUAGAUGAGAAAAUAUAUACAGAGAAGAGAAUGGCUUCAAAUGAAAAAUAUACAUUGAGAGAAUGGCGCACUCUGGAGUAAUGUUUGCUCGUUAUACAUAUUCCAGUGAUGAUAACAACAUCAUAUAUUAUACAAUCUAUAAAAUGAUCUAGACAUUAUAACUUGUUUUUCAAAAUAAAAUGAUAAAAAGAUCAGGGUCGUCGUCAGCAUGGAUGAGAGAAAAGACUAAAACCUUCUAUCUCUUCUAUAGCGGACGUCCCUGUACAUUAAAUAUCAAAUUUGUUUAA
rnacentral:lncRNA from 1 species